CAAUCCUACCUCAAAGGAAAUAUGGACAUGUCUGGUUUUGGCCUGAAUGCACAAAGAUAAUGACAAAUACUAGAAUUGUAUCUGACUCUAGUACCACCUCCACCACCUUUUAAAAACAUAGAGGUAGAGGGUUGACCAUGCCAAAUUGCCCCUAGGUGUGAACGAGUAUGUGUGCAUGGUGCCCUGUGAUGGAUUAGCGUCCCAUCCAGGGUGUAUUCUCCUGCCUGUCACCUAGUGAUCCUGGGAUAGGCUCCAAAUCUACUGUGUCUCUGCCCAGAAUUGAGCGAUUGCUGAUUUCAUCGUUAAUGACAAGGAACAGCUUUGAUGAUGAUGAAGAAAACUACGGAGAAGAAACUCCCCAGCUGCGCUGCACUGCCAAGACUCCUGGGUCCUGCCUCACGGACGCUUCAGCCACACCGGGAAAAACAGCGACCUUCACACAGACCCAGCACCUCUUCACCUCCUUGUAUGCAUCAGAAUUUAAAUAAAAACCCCACUUCUGUGCACUACCUCUGCCUCCCAAGUGUCUGUGUUCUGCCUGUUUGGGCCCUGAGCGGCCCCCCCCACACACACACCAAAAUAAAUAAAUAAAUAAAUAAAUAAAUAAAUAAAUAAACUUUCUAAAAUACUUCACUGGAGUAGUAAACAGGUCUACAUAGUUACAG
ensembl:lncRNA